CUCUCUGCGCGAGACCACCGCGUCUCUUGAUCAACGACUUCAUGCAUCACACCGCAAUUGUUGCUUCAGUGUUGAAUAAUUCUAGUUUAAAGUGCAAAAUAAUAUUCAGUAUUCAUACGACGUUUUAGACAUUUCGAGAAAUUUGGCCGAUACAUGGCCGUGAAAGUUUGUUGCUCUUGUGUAUAUUGCGUUGUGUUUACGCAAGGUCGCCACGCUAUCAUUCGCAUUCCGAGAUUCGAGCGAGCAGGUACCGUUGCAAGCCGUUCCGUGUGUUAUCUCACGAAAUAUCAACUAAAUCAUGUACUUAUAUUUUUCAAUGGUCCAUCGCGUUUCAAUUAAUUAUUAAUUCCGUUUUAUUAAUUACGUCGUAUUGUGUGAUUCUAGAUUAAACCCGCCGGUUUCAUUCUUGAAUUAUUAACGAAAGACCGGAGAAACGUCAAAUAGCUUUAUAGCUUAUUUGCGCUCGUAAAAUGAUGCUUUGAUUUCGUACUAUAAUUAAUAGUCGUGCCACGGGAGAUCUGCUACGGAGGAACAAAAGAAGAGGAGGACGUUCUGGAUGACAUCGGGCGUCGGCGGAGCAACCUUGGAGAUUUACAGGAUUUGUAGAGAAGGAGGAGGCCUGAAAGAGGCCUCGGGCCCUAGCGGAGCAACCUUAAGAGUAAUCACCGUAGCUUCGUGACUGAUUAAUUUCGCUCGUUGCGCAACAGGUCGGUGAGUCAGAAUUCAAUUUUCUUAUUAUAUUUGCAUGCUUUGCAAAUGUUCUGCGCAGGAUCAAAGCAUAAUAUUAUUGCGCAAUCGUAUCCGCAUUUUUGAAGUGAGUAGAAUUAAAGGAAAAUUACACUAUUAGCCCCUCAAUACACGUAGUUAAAUUACACGAUUUCCGCGAUGACAACCGCUCUGAAAGUUAGUGCAACGAAAAAAUCAAUCAGCAUCGCAGAAAAGCGAGAAUUAAAGACCCUUAGAAGGUCUCUAGCGAAAACUAUAACUUCGAUAUAUUUUUUACAUGCUUUUUUUAGAAAAGACUAGCAUGCAGCGCGCAGCGCGCGC